UCGUACAAUUAAGAAUUCGGGGUAAUUGUGGAUCUAUUGUACAGUAUGUACAUUUAUGCGAAGAGACCCAGAUCAAAGACAUAGUCAUGCUGGACUCGACGGAGAAAAACCACAGGUGCAGAGACGACGCAACCACCGUGACAAUGCCGGCAAUGUAUACUUCCUCUGUUCAACCCUCCUUAAGUCAACAUGUCUCAGACCAGUCGACCGUACAACACACCAUUUCAACACGUGCAUACUCUCAAACUGUCACAGCGACCCCAUUUACCAACAUUGAUUCCACACGUACAAUCCAUAUCAGUACCCCACAGACUUUGACAUCAGACAUCACUACAUCACAUCAUACACGCACCGCAGACAGCAGUACACUGUCUACUCGACCCACCAUUCUCCGGCCCCACAGUGCACAUUACACGCAGACUAUCAUCAUUUCUACUUUAAUUACUAACAUUUUUAAUAUAUCACAUUCCGUCAACAUCAAUACUGAUAGUCACGUAAAACAUACUCCGUCGACAGAGGACGUAACGGAUACCAACC